AGGAGAAAUAAAGGAAGGCCAGACGACCAAGAGAGAAAUCUUCUUUGACCCAAACAGAAGCAUAGAAGACACAGAAGAAGAAUCAGAUCAGCAAAUGCAAAGCGAAUAACUGAUAGAAUUUCAUGACCAGUGCUGAUUUGAAUGAAAGAGAAAAUGAAUCUUCCGCAUGAGUCAAGUCAGAGAAAAUCAAUUUAGGAGAGAAAGAGCACAUUUAGAACAGAAGUCGGUGACAUCACAGAUAACAGAAUGUGCAUUCUGCCAUGGUUCUACAAUUUCAGUUCUGUUAUCUCACAAUGCUAGUUAGGCAGCAUGGGAAUAAAUGGUCCACAAGCAGGGUGGCAUAGCAUCCUCUUUAGCACAUCAAAAGUUUCUCAGUGUCAAGCCUGAGAACAAAGAAGACAGGAGAUGAAGUGUGAUCCCUGGCAGUCAAUUGACAAGCUUUUGAAGUGUAAUGAAAUGACUAGAGACAUAUGGAAGAAGACAGGGUAUGGUUUGGAUUCAAGAGAACACAGUCCAUCAUGGUGGGAAAGACACGGCGGCAAGCGUGUGAGGAAAUUGGUUGCAUUGUGUCCGCAGUCAAGGAGCAAAGACAGGAUUGCUGCCACUUUGCAGAAUCAGAGCAGAGAGCCUGAGAAAAAAGAUGGGCUUUGGAAGGCUGGGCACUGAAAAGAACCUGCUUGCACUACAGCGUGCCUGGAGCAUGGUAAAAGCUUGCACUACAGCGUGCCUGGAGCAUGGUAAAAGCUUGCACUACAGCAUGCCUGGAGCAUGGUAAAGGCAUGCUGAGGAGUGGACCAGGUUGCAACUGAUGAGAACAAGUCCACUGUUUUCAAGGAAACAAAAUGCACAGGUCAGUAAAAGUUCAUGACUAUAGUACCGGGUUUUACCAUCCUGGCCAUUACUUUGUGGACACAAAUAUUGCCAGAUAAUUUCAUGUUCUGGCCCAAAGGUAAGAUUCUAUUGAAGCUCUGAACUUUUGAGAAUUAGCCACUGGAAAGAGGUGGGACAAGAGACUUUGGCUCAGGCUAUGGAUGCUGUUCUGUUGAUGGAGUGCUUGCUUAGCAUUUUCAAAACCCUGGGGGGAAAAAUGGGCAUGGUGGCACGUAAUUGUAAUCCCAACACUCCCAGGGUGGAGAAGGCAGUAACACGAGGACUUUGACAUCAUCUUUGGCCACACAGCAAAUUCAAGGUUAGUCUAGGAUACGGGAGAGCCUGAGUUGGAAAGGAACAACAAUGGUUUACCUUCUUCUCAGUUGUACCAAGGUUUCUGAUCCAAAUAUAAGCCAGAGUAUGCAAUAAGGAUGAACGCAAGGAAAGAAGUAGGUCUAGAAGUUAGAAUUUGCAGGCAGAAUUUGGCGAUGUAAGCAGAGGCACCAAUGUCACAGGAGCAGCUCUGUUUUUUUCCCCAUUAGCUUUUCCUCCACAUAGACUGUUGAUAGCCUUUUCCUCUCAUUCCCUGGGCUGAAGGCAAUGGAAAUGCCACUCAUGAUAGCGCCUUGUCUCCAUGCAUAGUAAUGAUGCAUUAUGGCUCUGUAGCCAUUAGGGACCCAAGCACAUCAGUGAGGAUUCCCACUGUCUUCUCAUUCACUAUUUCUAUCAGCCCAGAAGCCUGCAGAUGCUAAAAGCACCAUGAUUUUAUUUCAAACCUGGCUUAGCCUCUAGUAGCCCAAUUUGGGUUAUAAUGGAGAGAUGGCUCAGCGGU
rnacentral:sRNA from 1 species